rnacentral:rRNA from 1 species
GAUGAACGCUGGCGGCGUGCCUAAUACAUGCAAGUCGAGCGAACAGACGAGGAGCUUGCUCCUUCGACGUUAGCGGCGGACGGGUGAGUAACACGUAGGUAACCUACCUAUAAGACUGGGAUAACUUCGGGAAACCGGAGCUAAUACCGGAUAAUAUUUCGAACCGCAUGGUUCGAUAGUGAAAGAAGGCUUUGCUAUCACUUAUAGAUGGACCUGCGCCGUAUUAGCUAGUUGGUAAGGUAACGGCUUACCAAGGCAACGAUACGUAGCCGACCUGAGAGGGUGAUCGGCCACACUGGAACUGAGACACGGUCCAGACUCCUACGGGAGGCAGCAGUAGGGAAUCUUCCGCAAUGGGCGAAAGCCUGACGGAGCAACGCCGCGUGAGUGAUGAAGGUCUUCGGAUCGUAAAACUCUGUUAUUAGGGAAGAACAAACGUGUAAGUAACUGUGCACGUCUUGACGGUACCUAAUCAGAAAGCCACGGCUAACUACGUG